GGUGGCUCAGUGGUAGAGCGUUUGCCUUGCAUACCUGAGGCCCUGGGUUCGAUUCCCAGCACCA
rnacentral:tRNA from 1 species